rnacentral:tRNA from 1 species
GUGAGCGCUGGAUCAUCGGGCCGAGCGCGCUGUUGCCCACGGCGCGCUGGAGAGCGCCCAUCCCGGCGACGCCGAUCACAUCGGCCCGCCCUCC